ensembl:snoRNA small nucleolar RNA SNORD41
CUGGAAGUGAUGCACAAUAAAAACACCUGACUGCCUGUGAUGGUAUUUGUAUUCAUACUGUCUGAUCCAG